UUCACCUGACAAACAUGUUGGAUACACUCCUGUUGUCCAGCUCCACUGAGAUUUACUGUUUGUUCCCUUUCUGUUUUAAAGGCUAAUAUGCAAACAGAGUAAUCCUAUCUUUACACAGGUCUUCAUUUAAAAGUACUGUUUCAUUGUAUUACUGUCAAACCUCUCUGAUCCAGCUGGAGAUUGGCCCAGAGUGCCUGUGCACAUCUUUCAUCUGCUGCUCUCAAUCAGUUUCUAGUGUAAAACAAACAAAAGGUAAUAACUGCCCCACCAGCAUGUGCAUGUGUAACAUGCACAGCUGUACAGUGCAACCACAGACUGAGACUCUUAGCUUCAUCUUUCUUUUACCACAUUUAUGCUGUUUCUGUAAUUUGCUAUGUUCAUUUUGUCAAUCUGCUUCUGUUGGAACUGCAAAUAAAGAAUUGAAUAGGUCUAGAUCUAGGAUGAAACGAC